rnacentral:rRNA from 1 species
GACAGAGGGUGCAAACGUUGCUCGGAAUCACUGGGCGUAAAGGGCGUGUAGGCGGGAAGGAAAGUCAGAUGUGAAAUCCCCAGGCUCAACCUGGGAACUGCAUUUGAAACUCCCUUCUUGAGUACCGGAGAGGAAAGUGGAAUUCCUGGUGUAGAGGUGAAAUUCGUAGAUAUCAGGAGGAACACCAGUGGCGAAGGCGGCUUUCUGGACGGUAACUGACGCUGGAGAACGCGAAAGCGUGGGGAGCAAACAGG